UGGUUCUGGCAUCGAUGAAGAACGCAGCGAAAUGCGAUAAGUAAUGUGAAUUGCAGAAUUCAGUGAAUCAUCGAAUCUUUGAACGCACAUUGCGCCCAUUAGUAUUCUAGUGGGCAUGCCUGUUCGAGCGUCAUUUCAACCCUUAAGCCCCUGUUGCUUAGCGUUGGGAGCCUACAGAUGCCCUCUGUAGCUCCCUAAAGUCAGUGGCGGAGUUAGCUUCAACUCUAGACGUAGUAAAUCUUUUAUCUCGCCUAUAGAUGAGCUGGCUUCUCGCCGUAAAACCCCCCCUAAUCUUUCAAGGUUGACCUCGGAUCAGGUAGGAAUACCCGCUGA
rnacentral:misc_RNA from 1 species